rnacentral:tRNA from 1 species
GGGGACAUAGUUUAAUCUGGCUAAAAUCAUCGGCUCCAGACCGAUGGCUCUGGGUUCGAAUCCCAGUGUCCCCA